ensembl:rRNA 5S_rRNA 5S ribosomal RNA
GUCUACGGCCAUACUACCCUGAAUGCGCCUGAUCUCGGAAGCUAAGCAGGGUCGGGCCUGGUUAGGACUUGGAUGGGAGAAAUUGGACAUCAGGAAUCUGAAAAUG